ensembl:lncRNA
AGAUUAUUUAAGGUUAGGGUUAGGCAUUAGGGUUAGCGCAGUGGUUAAGGUUAAGAUUAUUUAAGGUUAGGGUUAGGCAUUAGGGUUAACGCAGUGGUUAAGGUUAAGAUUAUUUAAGGUUAGGGUUAGGCAUUAGGGUUAGCGCAGUGGUUAAGGUUAAGAUUAUUUAAGGUUAGGGUUAGGCAUUAAGGUUAGCAGUGGUUAAGGUUAAGAUUAUUUAAGGUUAGGGUUAGGCAUUAAGGUUAGCAGUGUGGUUAAAUUUAGGUUUAAAAUCAGAUUUUAUGACUUUGUGGCUGUGCCAGCUACUAAACUGCGCCUCUUAAGGGGAAAGUAAUCGAAAAGUAACUGAAAGUAAUUAGAUU